GUCUCCAGCUCAGAUUCAGAACGGAGAAGGUCUCGCAUUUACAGAUCUCCUGUGUUACUGAAUUUACCCAGAUGUCCCUGUGCCACACCACCCUGCCGUGGAACCAGCCCACUGUGACCCAAAACUACUACAAACUGUGAGUGCCCGGCAAUCUGGCUUCUCCCCUGACCAUGCUACUGAAAUAAAUUAUGACUUCUGU